UACGGUUAAAAAGCUUUGUGAGACUGUUCAGGUCUACGCUUGCUGGUCUGAGCAUGUGCAGUUCACGAGAGACCACUGUUUGUCGGUGGGGACGCCAAAUAACACAACACCGGUUCAGGCGUUUCUAGUAUUACCGUCCAUAUGCACGUGUCAACGUGUGGUUUUCAGAUUUUGUAAGUUUUUAAAAAUACAGAUAAUGAAAAUAUGAAUUCAUCUAUGUUUUUUAUUUGAAAUAUCAAUAUAGUAUCGUUUUCGCCUAUCGGACUUGUCGCUAGAUAGUAUCGGAAUUGUGGAUUAAUAUCGGGUGUCGGUUAUCGCCUAUAUUUGUGUUUCCAGUUAAUGAAUAUCGGUUAUCACUGAUAAGGUUUUCCAUUAUCAGUUAUCGGUUAUCGGGAAUAAGGUUUUCUGUUAUCGUGCCCUGCUAUGGUUAUGCGAGCCAGGGUGGGCACCUGCUGGAGGCUAGGUGGGCGCGGGGUGGAUAGGUUUAGUAGGGUUGAGUAAACGUGAGAAUUACAAUAACAUUAAUCCUCAUGAUUCCCUGGUAGCACGUAUAUAAUUUGUUUAAUAUUAUUAGGUAGUAUUAAUGGUUUAUAUGGAUCAUGUGUCCCUCGUUCAGUAAAAAUAGUAGUUGCUAAUAGGCGCACCUAACACAACCAAAAUAUGGGGUACACACUUGGCGCAGGGACUGUUUUGGGGUGUCAUUGAAGGUAACAGGCUCAAGAGUGGCCUGUCCAGAUAUUUUGUUUUUUAUUUAUUGAUGAUCCACGAGACAUCCUAGAGUUAAAUCAAAGUAUGUGUUUAUCUUUGUAUUCAUUCCUACACACUCUGGUAAUAUCUCUGUGGGGUCUGAUUCACUUAUUAGAGUGAAAUUCUAUUGUGAAAAACAGCCACAAAUUCGUGUCACUGGUGAAAAUGAAACUGAUAAUUUAAAUUUUGCCACCAUGAAAUAUAUACAAAUAGAUAAAUUUGAGUGACUUCACCUGCUUUGCACAGUAAAAUAUGCUAUUUCAGGCAUCUGACACCCUCAAAAAGGCGUGCGCACUCCUCUGGCCUAGGAGCUUCAGCCUGGACAUUGUGGUUAGGUCAUUACAUACUCAAAUCAGGACUAGGUUUUGGGAGACAGGUCAGGUCAUUUUGUAGACUUGUGAUACUGGGCUAGACUGCACUGGGUACACCACACGCUGGAGUUGCACCCAGUUUAUAAUGAUAUCAUUUUGGAGCAGUGAGUGAUGGGCUUUUUUUUUACUGUAAAAAUAAAAAGUAUGUUGAUGUUUACACAGUUAAUUGACACCAAACUUGAUUUGCAGACACUACCAAAAGAAGGAGGAGGAGGAGGAGGAGGACUGGGAAGAAGACGAGGAACACAGGAGGAACCCAUUGAGAGAACAAGAAGAAGAAGAAGAAGAGGAGGACACAGGAAUUCCUUGGUUGGUGUAGCAGUGCCGGGAGGUUCCAUAACACAGGGCACUCCUCACCUCAACAACAGUCUCUUCACCGACAAGUAAUUCUUCGCCAACAAGCUUUUCAGCAGCUUGGAGAAAUAGACACUACCAAACGAAGAAGAGGAGGAGGAGGAGGAGGACUGGGAAGAAGACGAGGAACACAGGAGGAACCCAUUGAGAGAACAAGAAGAAGAAGAAGAAGAGGAGGACACAGGAAUUCCUUGGUUGGUGUAGCAGUGCUGGGAGGUGCCAUAACACAGGGCACUCCUCACCUCAACAACAGUCUCUUCACCGACAAGUAAUUCUUCACCAACAAGCUUUUCAGCAGCUUGGAGAAAUAGACACCACCAAACGAAGAAGAGGAGGAGGAGGACUGGGAAGAAGACGAGGAACACAGGAGGAACCCAUUGAAUUGAACGGACAUCUCGGUCUGCCUGCGGGACACCGCACACUCUGGAAGAAGAAAGAACACCAAGAUGUCAAGUUCCUGCAGAAUCAGCCUCUUAGUGAAGGAAAUGUGCUCUAUUUAUUUAAUAAAUGAUUGACAAAAAAAUAA